AUGACUAUAGAAAACUUGGAAAACAGAAACCCAUGAAGGUGGAAGGAAAAAAGCCGCCAUGAUCCGAGAUAACUGCUGUUAACAUACUGCUGCCGCCGCUGCUGAGUCACUUCAGUCGUGUCCGACUCUGUGUGACCCCAUAGACGGCAGCCCAACAGGCUCCCCCAUCCCUGAGAUUCUCCAGGCAAGAGUACUGGAGUGGGUUGCCAUUUCCUUCUCCAAUGCAAGAAAGGGAAAGUGAAGUCGCUCAGUUGUUUCUGACUCUCAGCGACCCCAUGGACUGCAACCCACCAGGCUCCCCCAUUCCUGGGAUUUUCCAGGAGGACUCUGGCCUUGGUUUGUGCGGAGGACACCAUCCAAGUGACCACCACCAUGGGCUGCCUCCAGGAGUGAUGCUCUGGGUGUCACACUGUUUUGCUCGCCAGGAACCCCAUGGUGAGAUAAGAACCACUCUUCUAGAACACAGAUUUUUCUGAUUUUGUUCUUUUUCCUGGCUGAGCUUGGAACCAGUUGUGUGAUCUUGGUUAAGUCAUUUAAUUUGUCUGGGCUUCAAUUUACUGGCCUGUGAAAUGGAGACGAUGAACCAGAGUCAGUGUUUUCUAAUAAUUUCUUUUUGGGGAAAAAAGCAAAAAGCAA